UGCAAUCCGCUGCCGCUCUGACGAUAAACCGAGACGUCAAACAAACACUAUCGGGUACGGCGCUCGUAGCGCGACAAUAGAGGAUCGUAUUAUUUUUCCCACUCGCGUACGGAAUUGUUGUAACGACGCACGAACGCAUACGUACGCGUAGGCGUUAUUAAUCUCGGAAUACGAUUCGAACACGUACGUGGAUGUCGAGGAUUACGGAUUCAGACGGUUGAAAAAUUAUCGCGUCACCCGUACUCGCGUGAAGGUAUUAUGAUGAUUUCCGAAAGGAAUAAGUCGUCGGAAUAAUAUGGAAAUACGCGUACAACGACGAUGUUCGAAUGUCCCGGACGGGGACAAACGAAAAGCGCGUCGUUAAUUUUACGGCGUUAUUUAUUUUUUUUUUUUUUGUCGUUUAUUUUGUAUUGCGCCCGUGACCCGUACGGGUCUCAUAAAAACGUAAACCGCGGGCGGCCGAGGUCCUUUUCUCGUCUGACAUUCUCGAACGCGCGCGCCGUGUUACAGGCCCACAUUAUUAUACGCACACCUCGGCGCGCUUGUGUUCUUGAUUUAAAUUAAAAGCGCACACUCCCGCCGUCGCGCGGUAUAACAGUGCGUGAUUAUAACACCGCCGAGAACAAUAAUAUUAUUUAUUUAUUUUUUUAUUUUUUUAUUUUUUUUCGAAUGGCUUUUGAAGAAAGCAGCGAUUUUGCCGCCGUUCGCGCUCGCCUUUGAAAUGCCCGCUCGCCCGUCUAAACGGCCGACUCGCCCGCGUACGCGAUUUACUCGAAAACGAAAC